rnacentral:rRNA from 1 species
AACGAACGCUGGCGGCGUGGAUAAGACAUGCAAGUCGAACGAGAUUUUUCGUUGUAGCAAUACGAUGGAAAGUCUAGUGGCGAGCGGGUGCUUAACACGUGGGCAACCUGCCAGGAAGUGGGGGAUAGCUCGCCGAAAGGCGAAUUAAUACCGCAGGUGAUUAGAGAGGACAUCCUUUCGAAAUUAAAGUCGGGGCAACCUGACGCUUCUUGUGGGGCCCGCGGCCUAUCAGCUAGUUGGUGAGGUAACGGCUCACCAAGGCUUUGACGGGUAGCUGGUCUGAGAGGACGACCAGCCACACUGGGACUGAGACACGGCCCAGACACCUACGGGUGGCAGCAGUCGAGAAUUUUUGACAAUGGGGGAAACCCUGAUCGAGCGACGCCGCGUGGAGGAUGAAGGUCUUCGGAUUGUAAACUCCUGUCAUUGGGGAACAAUGCACAGAUAUUAACUGUAUUUGUGUUGAUAGUACCCGAAGAGGAAGAGACGGCUAACUCUGUGCCAGCAGCCGCGGUAACAC